CAAUCAUAGGGAGCGGUUUCCAUGACGAAUUUGACGCUACGCGACCCAAGGCUGGAGACUUUCUUCAGCGAAGAUGGUUGACAAAAAUACUCGGAUGGAAGCAAAUGGACUCCUGAAACAACCAGCAAACCAGGCUGUUGUCUUGUGAAACAGUGGAUGUAAAGAAUCUAGCUAGCUAAAGCAUUUACUGCAAAUUGAAUGUACAAAUUUGUAAGCUUGCCUUGCCGAUAUUUUCCAUGCAAUACAUAUAGAUUAAAUAAAGUAACUAGCUAUGUUCUUGCUUAUUGUGCAGUGGAGGAUAAAAAUGCCUGUAUGCCUCUGAAUCGGCUAUCUAGCCCAUCUAUGGACCCAAACGUUUGGUAUACAUAUUAGUUCAGAACCUAGCUAUGAACCUCAGCUAUCAUAGCCAGUUGUAUCAACUUCAAAACAGUGAAUGACAUUAAUGAAGCCUAUGGAUUGAGUAGAAUAUAACUUUGUGCUAAGGAUGCAACUCGUAUAUACAUGUAGUUAUUACCAUGCAUGAGAUCCCCACAUUGUAGCUUGUACAUUCAGUAUAUUCACUUAUCAUGUACCCUACCUUGGCAAGUAAAGGUGCAGUUCAGGUA